rnacentral:rRNA from 1 species
AGCAGCCGCGGUAAUUCCAGCUCCAAUAGCGUAUAUUAAAGUUGUUGCAGUUAAAAAGCUCGUAGUUGAAUUUCGGGAUCAAUUUAUUGGUCGUGCUAUUGUACGUACUGGUAUUAUUGAUUCCUACCUUCUGACGAACCAUGAUGUCAUUAAUUUGGUGUCAUGGGGAAUCAGGACUGUUACUUUGAAAAAAUUAGAGUGUUUAAAGCAGGCUCACGCUUGAAUACAUUAGCAUGGAAUAACGAAAUAGGACGUUUGAUUCUAUUUUGUUGGUUUCUAGGAUCGACGUAAUGAUUAAUAGGGAUAGUUGGGGGCAUUAGUAUUCAAUUGUCAGAGGUGAAAUUCUUGGAUUUAUUGAAGACUAACUACUGCGAAAGCAUUUGCCAAGGAUGUUUUCAUUAAUCAAGAACGAAAGUUAGGGGAUCGAAGACGAUCAGAUACCGUCGUAGUCUUAACCAUAAACUAUGCCGACUAGGGAUCGGAUGAUGUUAAUUUUUAAUGACUCAUUCGUCGUACCG